CCUGGUUGAUCCUGCCAGUAGCAUAUGCUUGUUUCAAAGGCUAAGCCAUGCACGUCUAAGUACAGACUUUUAAUACAAGUGAAACCGCGAAUGGCUCAUUAAAUCAGUUACGGUUCCUUGGAGCCUGAAUGAAUUACAUGGAUAACUGAGGUAAUUCUUGAGCUAAUACAUGCCCAAAAGGGAUAUAGACGAAAGUUUAUAUCUUGCGUUUAUUACUCUUUAAACCAAUGGAUUAUAUUUAUAUAAUUCUUUUACUUGAUGAAUCAAAAUAACCGAUGCUGAUCGUAUGGCCUUAGAGCCGACGACGUAUCCUUCAAGUGUCUGCCUUAUCAACUUUCGAUGGUAAGUUAUAUGCUUACCAUGGUUGUUACGGGUAACGGGGAAUCAGGGUUCGAUUCCGGAGAGGGAGCCUGAGAAACGGCUACCACAUCCAAGGAAGGCAGCAGGCGCGCAAAUUACACAAUCCCAGUACGGGGAUGUAGUGACGAAAAAUAACAAUACGGGACUCUAUUGAGGCCCCGUAAUUGGAAUGAGUACAAUUUAAAUCCUUUAACGAGGAUCUAUUGGAGGGCAAGUCUGGUGCCAGCAGCCGCGGUAAUUCCAGCUCCAAUAGCGUAUAUUAAAGUUGCUGCGGUUAAAAAGCUCGUAGUUGGAUUUCAGUCGAACCUAUGGGGUCCACUGAUUAAAGGGUUAGAUGGUGAUGUUAGGUUUCUUGCUUGUGUCUACGGAUGCUUGCUUGAACCUUCAUUCCUCUUUCCUGGUGGUUACAUUCAUAGUGUUUAGACAGAAAAUUGCUCGAUAUUUGCUAUCAAUGCUCUUUACCGAGUGUUGAUUCAAGCGAUCGAGACUUUUACCUUGAAAAAAUCAGAGUGCUCAAAGCAGGCGUCCAAAACCUCGAAAGAGGUGCCUAAAAACGGUAUGGUCAACCAUCUAUAUGAUGCGUACCACUACCUUAACUUGAAUGAUCUUGCAUGGAAUAAUGGAAUAGGACCUUGGUUCUAUUUUGUUGGUCUUAAGAAUCCAAGGUAAUGAUUAAGAGGGACAGACGGGGGCAUUUGUAUUGCGGCGCUAGAGGUGAAAUUCUUGGACCGUCGCAAGACAAACUACAGCGAAAGCAUUUGCCAAGAAUGUUUUCAUUAAUCAAGAACGAAAGUUAGAGGUUCGAAGGCGAUCAGAUACCGCCCUAGUUCUAACCAUAAACGAUGCCAACCAGCGAUCAUUCUGAGUAACUAAUUUCAUGACUCGAAUGGAAGCUUCCGGGAAACCAAAGUUUUUGGGUUCCGGGGGAAGUAUGGUUGCAAAGCUGAAACUUAAAGGAAUUGACGGAAGGGCACCACCAGGAGUGGAGCUUGCGGCUUAAUUUGACCCAACACGGGAAAACUCACCCGGCCCGGACACUGAGAGGAUUGACAGAUUGAG
rnacentral:rRNA from 1 species